rnacentral:tRNA from 1 species
ACUGGGUUGGCCGAGUGGUUAAGGCGUUGGACUUAAGUUCCAAUGGACAAGUGAACCCGCGUGGGUUCGAACCCCACACCCAGUA